UACGGAGGGUGCAAGCGUUAUCCGGAUUUACUGGGUUUAAAGGGUGCGUAGGUGGGUAAGUAAGUCAGUGGUGAAAUCUUCGAGCUUAACUCGGAAACUGCCAUUGAUACUAUUUAUCUUGAAUACUUUGGAGGUAAGCGGAAUAUAUCAUGUAGCGGUGAAAUGCUUAGAUAUGACAUAGAACACCAAUUGCGAAGGCAGCUUACUACACAGUUAUUGACACUGAGGCACGAAAGCGUGGGGAUCAAACAGG
rnacentral:rRNA from 1 species